AAGUACAUGUACUGAAAAGAUGAGAUAUAUGGUAUUGGCUUACACUCACCACAAGCUACAUCAGAGUCACAUCAGUACAAUACAUAAACAUCAUGAUGAAGAGCCGGGUCCGACUACGGACGAAAACAAACGAGAAAAGAAAACGACGUCCAUCCUUGCUAUCCCAGGCUGCCGGCCUGGAACCCAUCCUAGAUCGAUGAAGAAGAAGAAUAAGAAGCAACUCCAAAUGAACAAUCAACGCGCUCGCGUCAAGUAACCUUUACAUGUACCUGCAACUGGUGUUGUAGUAAUCUGUGAGCCACAGGGGGACUCAGCAAUCUCAUUUCCAAAGGUAUCAAGACUAGCAAAGCUUAAUAGGUGAGGUAUGGUUAAGUGGUGAGGCUGCAGCAAGCGACUAAGCAAUAUAUAUGAGGUGGCUAACUUACGAGUACAAGAAUAAGAGGGGGUGAUCUACACAUAACGGACGUGAACUAGUUGUUGGGAAACGUCGCAUGGGAAACAAAAAAAUUCCUACGCGCACGAAGACCUAUCAUGGUGAUGUCCAUCUACGAGAGGGGAUGUGUGAUCUACGUACCCUUGUAGACUGUACAGAAGAAGCGUUAGUGAACGCGGUUGAUGUAGUGGAACGUCCUCACGUCCCUCGAUCCGCCCCGUGAACCGUCCCGCGAUCAGUCCCACGAUCUAGUGCCGAACGGACGGCACCUCCGCAUUCCGCACACGUACAGCUCGACGAUGAUCUCGGCCUUCAUGAUCCAGCAAGAGAGACGGAGAGGUAGAAGAGUUCUCCGGCAGCGUGACGGCGCUCCGGAGGUUGGUGAUGAUCUCGUCUCAGCAGGGCUCCGCCCGAGCUCCGUAGAAACGCGAUCUAGAGGUAAAACCAUGGAGAUAUGUGGUCGGGCUGCCGUGGCAAAGUUGUUUCAAAUCAGCCCUAAAAACCUCCGUAUAUAUAGGGGGAAGAGGGGGAGCCUUGCCUUGGGGUCCAAGGACCCCUAAGGGCUUCGGCCGAGCCAAGGGGGGCAGCCCUCCCCUUCCAAACCGAGUCCAACUAGGUUUGGAAGGAGGAGUCCUUCCCCCUUUUCCCACCUCCUCUUUUUUUUCUUUUCUCUUUGAUUUUUCUUCCUAUGGCGCAUAGGGCUCUUUUGGGCUGUCCCACCAGCCCACUAAGGGCUGGUGCGCCACCCCCAAUGCCUAUGGGCUUCCCCGGGGUGUGUUGCCCCCCGGUGAACUCCCGGAACCCAUUCGUCAUUCCCGGUACAUUCCUCGUAACUCCGAAAACCUUCCGGUAAUCAAAUGAGGUCAUCCUAUAUAUCAAUCUUCGUUUCCGGACCAUUCCAGAAACCCUCGUGGCGUCCGUGAUCUCAUCCGGGACUCCGAACAACAUUCGAUAACCAACCAUAUAACUCAAAUACGCAUAAAACAACGUCGAACCUUAAGUGUGCAGACCCUGCGGGUUCGAGAACUAUGUAGACAUGACCCGAGAGACUCCUCGGUCAAUAUCCAAUAGCGGGACCUGGAUGCCCAUAUUGGAUCCUACAUAUUCUACGAAGAUCUUAUCAUUUGAACCUUAGUGUCAAGGAUUCAUAUAAUCAUGUAUGUCAUUCCCUUUGUCCUUCGGUAUGUUACUUGCCCAAGAUUCGAUCGUCAGUAUCCGUAUACCAAUUUCAAUCUCGUUUACCGGCAAGUCUCUUUACUCGUUCCGUAAUACAAGAUCCCGCAACUUACACGAAGUCAUAUUGCUUGCAAGGCUUGUGUGUGAUGUUGUAUUACCGAGUGGGCCCCGAGAUACCUCUCCGUCACACGGAGUGACAAAUCCCAGUCUUGAUCCAUACUAACUCAACGAACACCUUCGGAGAUACCUGUAGAGCAUCUUUAUAGUCACCCAGUUACGUUGUGACGUUUAAUACACACAAAGUAUUCCUCCGGUGUUAGUGAGUUAUAUGAUCUCAUGGUCAUAGGAACAAAUACUUGACACGCAGAAAACAGUAGCAACAAAAUGACACGAUCAACAUGCUACGUCUAUUAGUUUGGGUCUAGUCCAUCACGUGAUUCUCCUAAUGACGUGAUCCAGUCAUCAAGCAACAACACCUUGUUCAUAAUCAGAAGACACUGACUAUCUUUGAUCAACUGGCUAGCCAACUAGAGGCUUGCUAGGGACCGUGUUUUGUCUAUGUAUCCACACAUGUAAAUGAGUCUUCAUUCAAUACAAUUAUAGCAUGGAUAAUAAACAAUUAUCUUGAUACAGGAAUUAUAAUAAUAACUAUAUUUAUCAUUGCCUCUAGGGCAUAAUUCCAACACUAGUGAUGAUCAAAUGAAUGAUCCUGAACACCUACUUACGUCAAACAUAACCCCACCUUGUCCUCGAUCGGAGAAGGAACUCGCGAAAGAGACAGUCACAAUUACACACUCAAUUGGCAUGUUUUAGUUAAGUUAACUUCAAGUUGUCUAGAACCAGUGUUAAACAAAGUUUCCACGUUGCCACAUAACCGCGGGCACGGCUUUCCGAAAGAUUUAACCCUGCAGGGGUGCUCCAACUAAUCCAUCACAAAUUACCACAAGCCGCAUAGAAAUCCUCGAUCACGAAACUCGCGAUCUCGUCGAACUCCUUAGUGGAAAACCUCAACUCUGAGAUUACCCAAAGCAUCACCAGAAUCCCGAUGCACAAGACAUUCUUCAAAGGUAAAACUAAUCUAGCAAGGCCGCGCGACGUGUCGACGAUCCCGAUAGGAGCCGCAUAUCUCGUUAUCAGGACACGACGGAUGAGCGACGCAUACGGUGGCCUAAUAGAAAUCUCCCAAGUUGCCCUGGGUUGGCCCCGCACACUGCUCUAUUUUGGACCAGCGCCAUCAGCACUGGCCCUCCCUGUAUUAUGUAAAUUACUCCUCGGGUUCAUGACGCCCUAUGCUUUCAGUUUUAACAAGUUUAUUAUGUUGGGCAAAUGUAGUACCAAUGUUGGGCCUUGCCAGACCAGCUUUAAUCUAAAACGAAUUAUCAAGGGGGUACCCAUAACAACCCCGAUCGUGUUAGGAGCGCUCAAUUAUGGAACAUAACACCGGUAGCCGAAACUAAGGGGGGCAAAGGUGGAACAAAACACCUGGCUAGAAAGGCCAAGCCUUCCACCUUUUGCCAAGUAUAUAGGUGCAUUAAAUUAAAUAGCAAUUAAUAUGGUGAUAUAACAAGGAACCCAUGUUGACACAUGGAAGCAACUGCACCUGCAUCUAGCAACGCUAAGACAUGGUAAAGCAAGCGGUAACAUAGCCAAUCAGUGGUUUGCUAGGUUGUGAACAGGUUGAAGGUUUUCCAUGGCAAUGUUGAGAGGCUGAUAUUUAACAGGUGGUAGGCAACGAGACAUAAUCGGUUGAAGCGAUAAAAACUAGCAUGGCAAUGAUAGUAAUGGUAUCUGGGGAAAUGGUCAUCUUGCCUGAGAUCCCGCUUGGAAGAAGAAUGACUCCGUGAAGCAAACGAACCGAUGUAGUCGAAAGGGUCCUCACAUCCGACACGCUUGCGGAACUCUAUCGAGACGGAGGAAACCGGAAACAAGCAUCAACCCACGAUAUUCACCACGGCAUAUGCACAACAAGAUGCAAUCCACAUAUGAUGCAUGAUCAACUGAUUAUAUGCAAGUCACGGCAUGUCAAUUCACAACAACCAAAUACUACACAUUAAGUAAAGUUCAAUAUGCAACGAGUUGCAUAUUGACGAAACUCCACAUACGAGUUAUUUAGUUCUAUCCCGAUUAGGUACGCGGCAAUAUUAAAUGUGGUUACACAUGGCAAGAGGUGAAGCGUAAUUAAACUACCUAUCUAGGCAUUUUAAAUGAGGUCGGAAAUGACAUAUAGCACCUCCGAAAUGACCUCACAUGUUAAUUUAUAUUUCUGUCCAGACCUGAACUAACAUGUUUAAAUGUUUGUUAAACAGAAAAACAAAUAGGUUCACGUGAUUCUACGCGUCGUUACAAGCAAUUUACACAUAGAGAACAUCUCCAACGGAGCUACGUUUCAAAAGAUACGGAGACCGCAAGAUAUGAUGGCAUGAAUGCAAUAUGUGUGCAAAUGGCAUCCACAACAUUUCAAAACACACAACCAGUAAUAUAUUAUGAAACUACACGGGAUUCUAAGCAAGUUUCAUAUAGGACACUGAUGGGGUCAUAGUCCUAGGGUAGGGUCAUAGGCUUGCCAUGCAGGUCCUACCCAAGGACUACCCCUCACAAAGGACAUGGCCCUUAGUCAGUCCCGACUGAAUUAAGAAGUCCCCAUCAUCCAGUCGGUAACAGGUCCUCAAUCAUCCAGUCGGAGACUAGCAUUCGGAGGAUACCAAGCUAACCGACUGGCUACACUCGGUACAUCGUAACCUCUC
rnacentral:lncRNA from 1 species